rnacentral:rRNA from 1 species
AGGUAAGCUACUAAGAGCGAAUGGUGGAUGCCUUGGUUGGUAGAGGCGAUGAAAGACGUGCUAGACUGCGAUAAGUCUCGGGGAGUUGUCAAGGAGCUUUGAUCCGGGAAUUUCUGAAUGGGGAAACCCAGUAUAUAGUGAUAUAUACUACCUAUAUGGAGCAAACGUGGGGAAUUGAAACAUCUUAGUACCCACAGGAAAAGAAAUCAAAUGAGAUUACGAAAGUAGCGGCGAGCGAAAUCGUAAAAGGGCAAACCACUAGUUUACUAGUGGGGUUGUAGGACUGUAACAUAGACUAAAAAGAGUUAAUAGAAUAAUCUGGAAAGUUUAAGCAUAGAGGGUGAUACUCCCGUAUAUGAAAACUCUUUUUUACUUAACAGUAUCCUGAGUAGGGCGAGGCACGUGAAACCUUGUCUGAAUCUGGGAAGACCACUUUCCAACCCUAAAUACUACUACCAAACCGAUAGUGAACAAGUACCGUGAGGGAAAGGUGAAAAGAACGGGGGUGACCCGAGUGAAAUAGAACCUGAAACCAUUUGCUUACAAUCAUUCAGAGCACGAUUCUUUAUGACGUGUGAUGGACUGCCUUUUGCAUAAUGAGCCUGCGAGUUGUGAUAUCUGGCAAGGUUAAGGAAAUCCGGAGCCGUAGCGAAAGCAAGUCUUAAUAGGGCGUUUAGUCAGAUAUUGCAGACCCGAAACGAAGUGAUCUAUCCAUGAGCAGGUUGAAACCGGUGUAAGAGCCGGCGGAGGACCGAACCCGCUGACGUUGAAAAGUCUUGGGAUGACUUGUGGAUAGGGGUGAAAGGCCAAUCAAACUUCGUGAUAGCUGGUUCUCUCCGAAAUAUAUUUAGGUAUAGCGUUAUGUAGUAAUUAGAGGGGGUAGAGCACUGAAUGGGCUAGGGCAUACACCAAUGUACCAAACCCUAUCAAACUCCGAAUACCUUUAAUGUAAUCAUAGCAGUCAGGCGGCGAGUGAUAAAAUCCGUCGUCAAAAGGGGAACAACCCAGACUACCGACUAAGGUCCCAAAAUCUUAUUUAAGUGGAAAACGAUGUGAAGUUACUUAAACAACCAGGAGGUUGGCUUAGAAGCAGCCAUCCUUUAAAGAUAGCGUAAUAGCUCACUGGUCUAGUGAUUUUGCGCGGAAAAUAUAACGGGGCUAAAAUAAGUACCGAAGUCGUAGACUUAGUUUUACUAAGUGGUAGGAGAGCGUUGUAUUUAGCGUUGAAGAUGUACCGGUAAGGAGCGUUGGAGCAAAUACAAGUGAGCAUGCAGGCAUGAGUAGCGUUAAAUCAGGUGAGAAUCCUGAUCGCCGAAAACCCAAGGUUUCCUACGCGAUGCUCGUCAUCGUAGGGUUAGUCGGGUCCUAAGCAAAGUCCGAAAGGGGUAUGCGAUGGAAAAUUGGUUAAUAUUCCAAUACCAAUUAUUAUGUGCGAUGGAAGGACGCUUAAAGUUAGUGGAGCUAACUGAUGGAAUAGUUAGUCUAAGGUCGUAGGUUGAGUUAUAGGCAAAUCCGUAACUCUUUAUCCGAAAGCUUAAAGGCUUACAAAGCUCUUCGGAGUAGCGUAAGAAUCCAUGAUACUAUAGAGCCAAGAAAAGUUUCUAAGUUUAGUAAUAAUUGCCCGUACCGUAAACCGACACAGGUGGGUGGGAUGAGUAUUCUAAGGCGCGUGGAAGAACUCUCUUUAAGGAACUCUGCAAAAUAGCACCGUAUCUUCGGUAUAAGGUGUGCCUACCAGGGUGCAAGCCCUAGAGGUUACAACAAAGAGUCCCUCCCGACUGUUUACCAAAAACACAGCACUCUGCUAACACGUAAGUGGAUGUAUAGGGUGUGACGCCUGCCCGGUGCUCGAAGGUUAAUUGAUGGAGUUAGCAUUAGCAAAGCUCUUGAUCGAAGCCCGAGUAAACGGCGGCCGUAACUAUAACGGUCCUAAGGUAGCGAAAUUCCUUGUCGGUUAAAUACCGACCUGCAUGAAUGGCGUAACGAGAUGGGAGCUGUCUCAAAGAGGGAUCCAGUGAAAUUGUAGUGGAGGUGAAAAUUCCUCCUACCCGCGGCAAGACGGAAAGACCCCGUGGACCUUUACUAUAGCUUGACACUGCUACUUGGAUAAAGAUGUGCAGGAUAGGUGGGAGAUUAUGAUCUAUAGAUGCUAGUCUAUAAGGAGUCAUCCUUGAGAUACCACUCUUCUUUAUUCGGGUAGCUAACUAGCCUAAGUUAUCCUUAGGUAGGACAAUGUCUGGUGGGUAGUUUGACUGGGGCGGUCGCCUCCCAAAUAAUAACGGAGGCUUACAAAGGUUGGUUCAAAACGGUUGGAAAUCGUUUGUAGAGUAUAAAGGCAAAAACCAGCUUAACUGCGACACCGACAAGUGGAGCAGAGACGAAAGUCGGUCUUAGUGAUCCGGUGGUUCUGUGUGGAAGGGCCAUCGCUCAAAGGAUAAAAGGUACCCCGGGGAUAACAGGCUGAUCUCCCCCAAGAGCUCACAUCGACGGGGAGGUUUGGCACCUCGAUGUCGGCUCAUCGCAUCCUGGGGCUGGAGCAGGUCCCAAGGGUAUGGCUGUUCGCCAUUUAAAGCGGUACGCGAGCUGGGUUCAGAACGUCGUGAGACAGUUCGGUCCCUAUCUGCCGUGGGCGUAAGAAGAUUGAGGAGAGUUGACCCUAGUACGAGAGGACCGGGUUGAACCAACCACUGGUGUAUAAGUUGUCCUGCCAAGGGCACCGCUUAGUAGCUAAGUUGGGAUGUGAUAAGAGCUGAAAGCAUCUAAGCUCGAAGCCAACUCCAAGAUUAAUCUUCUUUUAAGAGCUCUUAUAGACUAUAAGUUUGAUAGGCUGGGUGUGUAAUUGAUGUAAGUCAUUUAGCUGACCAGUACUAAUAGCUCGUUUGCUUAUCUAU